AGGCAGCAGACACAUUCCAGCCAAUCAGCAGCAGACCCUCCCUCCCAGAUCCUCCCACCUCCUGGACAGCAUCCAUUGUGAAGCUGCAUUCUUAGUGAGCUGUCCAGGAGGUGGGAGGGUCUGGGAGGGAGGGUCUGCUGCUGAUUGGCUGGAAUGUGUCUGCUG